GGAUCACCGAAUUAUUCAUAUCUACCGUUGAUUAGACUAAAUCUAACGGUCAAUAAUCCACUCUGUUUUAAUUAACUUUUGUACAUCUCGAUAUCUACUUUUCUGUCUCAUUAUUCGAUGUCUUCAAAGGAAACCCAAUAAACUCAAUCUCGAAGCUUCUUUCACCAUCGCCAAACACAAAAAAACACCAUCGCCGAAUCUAAAGAUCUUUUCAUUUUCAGGUUUCGGAGCUAGAUAUCACAGGUUCUACCACAUUUCGUCAUUCAAGCAAAGAAACUGUUAGUUAAAUGGAAGAUAAAGGACUCAUAUGCGGCCUCCCCGCUAAGAACGUUGUACCAACAUUCCGAUAACCGACACAA